GCAAAAAACAAAAACGUUUCUGAAGUAUGUUUUUACAGCAGAUCUAGCCCAUACCUUUCAACAUGUAAAAUAGAAAAAAGGGACACAUUAAUUUUAGGAGUGUGAGUGGGUGUUCUGCGAAAUUUUAGGUGACAUAAAAACAGCAAUUAUUAUUAUAUCUUAUUUACACAGACUGAUUUCUAAACACAUUUAUUGCAUUUUAAAGACACAUUACUGUAUUAAUGAUGUGAUGUUCUGGAAUACACUCAAGACACACAAACAAUACUGAUCCCCUAUGAAAGAGGGACCUUAGGACAGAAAAUAAGGGAGGGGGUCUUUUCUUAACACUUGGGACAAUUGGGAGGUGUAUAUGGAGCCGAAUGUUGUUACCUCUAGCUGUAGAACGACCCUAACCCAUAUACACAGCCUGCUUUAACCACUUCACUACCAAGAACAUUUUGUUUGAAAAAAUAUUAGCAUUAUUUGAAACAAAGGAUGCAUAACUA